AAUUCGAUUUUGGAGGGCAAGUCUGGUGCCAGCAGCCGCGGUAAUUCCAGCUCCAAUAGCGUAUAUUAAAGUUGUUGCAGUUAAAAGGCUCGUAGUUGAAUUUCGGGAUCAAUUUGUAGGUCGUGCCUCGGUACGUACUUGCAUCAUUGAUUUCUACCUUCUGAUGAACCAUGAUGCCAUUAAUUUGGUGUUAUGGGGAAUCAGGACUGUUACUUUGAAAAAAUUAGAGUGUUUAAAGCAGGCUCACGCUUGAAUACAUUAGCAUGGAAUAACGAAAUAGGACGUUUGAUUCUAUUUUGUUGGUUUCUAGGAUCGACGUAAUGAUUAAUAGGGAUAGUUGGGGGCAUUAGUAUUCAAUUGUCAGAGGUGAAAUUCUUGGAUUUAUUGAAGACUAACUACUGCGAAAGCAUUUGCCAAGGAUGUUUUCAUUAAUCAAGAACGAAAGUUAGGGGAUCGAAGACGAUCAGAUACCGUCGUAGUCUUAACCAUAAACUAUGCCGACUAGGGAUCGGAUGAUGUUAAUUUUUUAAUGACUCAUUCGGCGCCUUACGGGAAA
rnacentral:rRNA from 1 species